rnacentral:lncRNA from 1 species
CAAAAAGCUUGCAUCCAUUUGAAAGGGUUUUCAUGCACCCCAAAGAGCCUGCCCCUAUUUGCAAGGGGGCUGCGCACACCCCAAAAAGCUUGCAUCCAUUUGUAAGGGGGUUUCAUGCACCCCAAAAAGCCUGCACCCCUUUGCAAGGGGGCUAGAUGCACCCCAAAGAGUGCACACUCAUUUGCAAGGGGUUCUCAUGCACCCCAAAAAGCUUGCAUCCAUUUGUAAGGGGCUUGCACGCACCCCAAAGAGCCUGCCCCUAUUUGCAAGGGGCUUGCACGCACCCCAAAAAGGCUGCACCCCUUUGCAAGGGGGCUACGUGCACCCCAAAAAGCUUGCAUCCAUUUGCAAGGGGCUUCAUGCACCCCCAAAAGUUUGCACCCCUUUGUAAGGGGGCUACAUGCACCCCACGGAGCCUGCACCCAUUUAUGAGGGGUUUGCAUGCACCCCAAUACCCUGCAACCCCUUUGCAAGGGGGCUGCGCGCACCCCAAAAAGCCUGCACCCAUCCGCAAGGGGCUUGCACGCACCCCGGGGAGCCUGCACCCUCGUGCAAAGGGCACACGCACCCCCCCCACUGUGCCCCCUCGCCUGCUGAGCGUGCAGCCUCGUGCGAGGGGCACAAGCACGCCCGUGAGCACACCCUGGUGCAAAGGACCCCCCCAGCACACACGCCUGUAAGUGUGCAAGCCGUGAGCUCACACCCUCGUGCUAGGGGCUUGCACGCCCCCCCCCCCGUGAACACGCUUGCGCAAAGGGCUCUGUGCAAGGCCCGUGCAAGGGCACACGCGCACCUCUCGUGAGCACCGCGCCGCCGGUGCCCAGCUGCCACGCUUGUGCAAGGGCAGCCUCGUGCAAGGCGCCUUGUGCAAAUGCCCCGUGCCAGGGGAAGGCGUGUGCCAGGCCUGGGAGAGGCAGCUCUUGUGCAAGGCUUCGUGCAAAGGGCACGCGCAGCUGCUGUGGGAAGGUGCGUGGUCCCCCUGGGGGGGCACAGCCCCGUGCA